GACGAACGCUGGCGGCGUGCUUAACACAUGCAAGUCGAACGGAAAGGCCCUGCUUUUGUGGGGUGCUCGAGUGGCGAACGGGUGAGUAACACGUGAGUAACCUGCCCUUGACUUUGGGAUAACUUCAGGAAACUGGGGCUAAUACCGGAUAGGAGCUCCUGCUGCAUGGUGGGGGUUGGAAAGUUUCGGCGGUUGGGGAUGGACUCGCGGCUUAUCAGCUUGUUGGUGGGGUAGUGGCUUACCAAGGCUUUGACGGGUAGCCGGCCUGAGAGGGUGACCGGCCACAUUGGGACUGAGAUACGGCCCAGACUCCUACGGGAGGCAGCAGUGGGGAAUAUUGCACAAUGGGCGGAAGCCUGAUGCAGCAACGCCGCGUGCGGGAUGAAGGCCUUCGGGUUGUAAACCGCUUUCGCCUGUGACGAAGCGUGAGUGACGGUAAUGGGGAAAGAAGCACCGGCUAACUACGUG
rnacentral:rRNA from 1 species